UCGAGCGGACAGAUGGGAGCUUGCUCCCUGAUGUUAGCGGCGGACGGGUGAGUAACACGUGGGUAACCUGCCUGUAAGACUGGGAUAACUCCGGGAAACCGGGGCUAAUACCGGAUGCUUGUUUGAACCGCAUGGUUCAAACAUAAAAGGUGGCUUCGGCUACCACUUACAGAUGGACCCGCGGCGCAUUAGCUAGUUGGUGAGGUAAUGGCUCACCAAGGCAACGAUGCGUAGCCGACCUGAGAGGGUGAUCGGCCACACUGGGACUGAGACACGGCCCAGACUCCUACGGGAGGCAGCAGUAGGGAAUCUUCCGCAAUGGACGAAAGUCUGACGGAGCAACGCCGCGUGAGUGAUGAAGGUUUUCGGAUCGUAAAGCUCUGUUGUUAGGGAAGAACAAGUACCGUUCGAAUAGGGCGGUACCUUGACGGUACCUAACCAGAAAGCCACGGCUAACUACGUGCCAGCAGCCGCGGUAAUACGUAGGUGGCAAGCGUUGUCCGGAAUUAUUGGGCGUAAAGGGCUCGCAGGCGGUUUCUUAAGUCUGAUGUGAAAGCCCCCGGCUCAACCGGGGAGGGUCAUUGGAAACUGGGGAACUUGAGUGCAGAAGAGGAGAGUGGAAUUCCACGUGUAGCGGUGAAAUGCGUAGAGAUGUGGAGGAACACCAGUGGCGAAGGCGACUCUCUGGUCUGUAACUGACGCUGAGGAGCGAAAGCGUGGGGAGCGAACAGGAUUAGAUACCCUGGUAGUCCACGCCGUAAACGAUGAGUGCUAAGUGUUAGGGGGGUUUCCGCCCCUUAGUGCUGCAGCUAACGCAUUAAGCACUCCGCC
rnacentral:rRNA from 1 species